rnacentral:misc_RNA from 1 species
UCUCCGUAGGUGAACCUGCGGAGGGAUCAUUACAGAGUUCAUGCCCUACCGGGUAGAUCUCCCACCCUAUGUUAUUAUUACUUUGUUGCUUUGGCGGGCCGUUAGGCUCCGGCACGACUACCGGCCCCGGCUGGUAAGCGCCCGCCAGAGGACCCAAAACCCUGAAUAUUAGUGUCGUCUGAGUACUAUAUAAUAGUUAAAACUUUCAACAACGGAUCUCUUGGUUCUG